CAUCAAAUGCAUUUAACGGCACAAAAGACAUUUGGAGUGUAUAAAUAGUGAAUAGUAGUGGACAUAAACUUCAUUGCAUAGCACUCUCUGGUUUAGCUUACCCAAACCAUCGACCAUUCAUCACUCUAUAAAGACCUAAACCCAAAGAAAUCAUGAAGCAAGCCUCCAAGUUGAUGUUGGUCUUUCUCUUGGCAACUCUAAUGUGCGAGCCAUGGAUGGUGACAAGAGUUGAAGCAUGCCAGCGAGAUGUCGAUUGUGUGUUUCAAUGUCCGAGGGGCAAGUUGGCACUCUGUGAUGAGAGGAAUCACAAAUGUUCGUGCGUUGGAAGCGUUUCAACUAGUUCCUCUAAUGUCAAUGUCGAAAUCCCUAAUUAGUUGGUGUGUGGAAUCAACUCUUGUUGAUGUCUCUCAAUAAUCGAAUCAUCAAUAAAUUUGUCUAAUCGUA